UACGAGGGGGGCAAGCGUUGUUCGGAAUUAUUGGGCGUAAAGGGCGCGUAGGCGGUGCGGUAAGACUGUGGUGAAAUCUUCGGGCUCAACUCGAAGCCUGCCGCGGUGACUGCCGUGCUCGAGUGUGGGAGAGGUGAGUGGAAUUCCCGGUGUAGCGGUGAAAUGCGUAGAGAUCGGAAAGAACACCAACGGCGAAAGCACUCUGCUGGGCCGACACUGACACUGAGAGACGAAAGCUAGGGGAGCGAAUGGG
rnacentral:rRNA from 1 species